UGUUUUUGUUAUGUCUCUUUUGAGCCACGGGGCGUAACAAAUGGGGGCUUGUCGAAAGUAGGAUCCAAUCAACGCCAGGAUGAUUUGGAAAUAUUUUAUCAUUUUUGUCGUUUAACCGUAUUUUGUUGUUUUUGAUUCUUUUGAACAUGUUUGAUGAUAAAUAUCGUGCACUCCUAGCUCAUCUCCUUGACCUUCCAAAUCAAAUUUCUUCUUUUGUACAUGUUUAAAAUCACAAGCUGACACACAAGCAUCAGUUACAACGCAGCUAUCAUUACUUAGGUCCUGCUCGAGAUUCGGGUACUGCUUGAUCCAUUACACGUGUGUGUUAGUGUCCCAAGGCAUAACAUGUAACAAUGCAAAUGAGCAAAAACAAAAUGCAAUUGGCUCCAGUUUAAAAUAAAAUAUUGUAGAGAAUUUUCACACCUGCCAUUGCUAACUCUGCAUAAGCCCUGUGUUUCACUCUCUGUGAUGCUGUGUGUCUCUGUGUCUUCAGUCUCUGCUGAUUGUGUGACUGUGACGUCUCUGUAGCGGCUCUUAUUCACCAUCAGCUGAUCCUGAGAGAACUGGACUGACGUCUAAAUUCUAAAGGUAAUA